GCGAGACUCUGUCUCAAAAAAACAACAAAAAAGUGAAUCCCAUAAAAGGGACAGAUCCUGAGGUUCAGUCACCAGUUGUUAUCCCCUCUGCAGGCAAGAACUGGGGAAGGGAAAGAGGGCCUGUGGGCGUUAACCAUGUAGGAUCCCAGGUAACCAUGCAAGUGGGUAUUAUUUUAAAUGUGACUCCCUUGUCCCAACCCCAAAGUCGCAGCUAGGAAGCCCACAGUUUUUUCCCAUGGGAAAAUGCAUUGCCAGAAUUUUAACAGCAAUCAGUGAGAAAGAUGGGAUUCUUUGGUCACAGAUUUUUCAAGAAUGUUUCUUUAGGGUGAGGUGACAAAGGAUGAAUCAGUGGCGGUGGGACUUGUCCACGGUGGAGUCCCUUCUUUCCUCACUGCUCCUCUCCACCCAGCAGUGGGCUAGUAGAUGCCAGGCCUGUGGUGGUCAGGGUUUUUCAACUGCGGCUGUGUUGACAAUCCAGGCUGGAUCAUUCUUUGCUGUGGGGGCUGUCCUGGACACUGUGGGAUGUUUAGCGGCAGCCUUGGCCUCCACCUGCUAAAUGCCAGCAGCCCUUCCCUGCCCAGUUGUGAGAACCAAAAAUGCCUUCACACAUUGCCACAUAUUCCCUGGUUGAGUGCCAUCUGCCUAUCUGGUGGUGUGAAAGAACAUAGCUGGCCUUGGGCUAGGAGGAUGCGAAAUCAGAGCAAGGAGACAAAGGCUCAGGGCCUCACAAGGCAGCGUAGGAGCAACUGUCAGCAUUUCUUUGCCUGCCUGCCCCCAGUCCCCACAACGUCCAGGGUGGCAGAUAACUUCUGCUUCCUGUCAACUCAUCCCGCCUGGCCUAGCCUCGCCACCAGCUUUGGUGAACCCCACAUGCGAGGCGGCUGGCCAUGUCUAGCAUAUCUUGCGUUUGUUUAGGAGAGAGUUAGAUUUGAAUAAGAAGAAUGGUGGUGGCUGGACCCCGCUGAUGUAUGCCUCCUACAUUGGCCACGACACAAUCGUGCACCUGCUGCUUGAGGCGGGGGUGAGUGUGAAUGUGCCGACCCCAGAAGGGCAGACUCCACUGAUGCUGGCCUCCAGCUGUGGCAACGAGAGCAUCGCCUACUUUCUUCUCCAGCAAGGUGCAGAGCUAGAAAUGAAAGACAUCCAGGGCUGGACAGCCCUCUUCCACUGUACCAGCGCCGGGCACCAGCACAUGGUCAGGUUCCUCUUGGACAGUGGAGCCAAUGCCAACGUGAGGGAGCCGAUAUGUGGAUUUACUCCCUUGAUGGAAGCAGCUGCUGCUGGCCAUGAGAUAAUCGUGCAGUAUUUUCUGAAUCACGGAGUCAAGGUGGACGCGAGAGACCACAGUGGAGCCACAGCCCGGAUGCUGGCCAAGCAGUACGGACACAUGAAGAUCGUGGCCUUGAUGGACACUUACUCGCCCUCUCUGCCCAAGAGCCUCUAUCGGAGCCCAGAAAAGUAUGAAGAUCUGAGCUCUUCUGACGAGUCCUGCCCUGCUCCUCAGAGACAGAGGCCUUGCCGGAAGAAGGGUGUCAGCAUCCACGAGGGACCACGAGCCCUGGCCAGGAUCACAGGCAUUGGCCUGGGCGGCAGAGCCCCACGGCCUCGCUAUGAGCAGGCUCCUCCCCGCGGCUAUGUCACCUUCAACAGCAGUGGCGAGAACCCCCUGGAAGAAGAGGGCCUCUGCUGCCGGGAUGUCACCUCCCCCAUCAAUGAGCGGGACGUGGAGAGCAGCAGCAGCAGCAGCAGUCGGGAGGAACAUGCUUUCUGUGCCAACCUGGGGCCCGUCCAGAGCAGCAGCAGCAGCGAGGGCCUGGCCAGAGCCCAGGGGCUCAGCAGCGAAGCUUCUGUGGAGAGCAACGAGGACUCGGAUCACGCCUGUAAAAGCUCAGCUCGCAAACAAGCUAAAAGUUACAUGAAGACCAAGAAUCCUGACAGCCAGUGGCCUCCCCGCACUGCAACUGACAGGGAAGGCUUUCUCGCUGAGUCCAGCCCCCAGACUCAGAGGGCCCCCUACUCGGGACCCCAGGACCUUGCCGCACUGCUGGAGCAGAUCGGGUGUCUGAAGUACCUGCAGGUGUUUGAGGAGCAGGACGUGGACCUCCGCAUCUUUCUGACCCUCACUGAGAGCGACCUGAAGGAAAUUGGCAUCACGCUGUUUGGGCCCAAGAGGAAGAUGACGUCCGCCAUUGCCCGCUGGCACAGCAGUGCCCGCCCACCCGGGGAUGCCCUGGAGCUGGCCUACGCCGACCGGCUGGAGGCUGAGAUGCAGGAGCUCGCCAUCCAGCUGCACAAGCGCUGCGAGGAGGUAGAGGCCGUGCGGGGCCAGGUGUGCCAGGAGCAGGAGCUGCGCGCCGUGGUGGAGAGCUGCCUGCUGGAGCAGGACCGCGCCCGCGAGGACCUCCAGGCCCGGCUGCAGGAGACGUGGGCCCUGGCCCGGGAUGCUGCCCUCAUCCUGGACCAGCUGCGAGCCUGUCAAGCUGAGCUGUCAACUCGAGUGAGGCGGGACCAGCCCCUUGGUGCAGCCACUCUGGGCCUAGCCGUCCCCCCAGCUGACUCCAAGGGCUGGCAAGCGUCCCUGCAGGCCAUGAGCCUCCCCGAGCUCUCGGGAGCCCUGGAGGACCGUGUCCGUGAGAUGGGGCAAGCACUGUGCUUAGUGACCCAGAGCCUGGAGAAGCUGCAGGUGCUGAACGGGAAGAAGUGGCGGGAGACCUAGCCCGCGGGCCGAAUCUGACGUUGGGUGAUUGGUCCACCCUGAAGCUGUGUGCCAGGGAGUGAGGAGGACAGUGAGCAGGCAGCUGCCACGUGCAGCCCAGGCCCAGUGGGGGCCAGAGGAUCAGGCCCCGGGAGCAGCCGGCAGACAGAGGCAAGACGGGGGCUGCGGCCCUGGCUCGGCAGCUCGGGCCAGCACUGAGGCGGGACGAGGGCCUCACCCAGAACCUCGUGGUGAGGCCCCAGAGUUCAUGGGCUGCCCUGACCCAUACCAGGCAGGGCCCUGGGGGGAAAGUGUAUCCAUAUACACACACAGGUGCCAACUGAGGUGGGACCUUACGAGUGAGGACUGGGGCACCUGGAAAAUGCCAUUUUUUGGAAAAUAAAAUUUAAGAACAGCU
rnacentral:sRNA from 1 species